rnacentral:tRNA from 1 species
GCCUGGCUGGCUCAGUCAGUAGAGCAUGUGACUCUUGAUCUCGGGGUUGUGAGUUCAAGCCCCACGUUGGGCA